rnacentral:rRNA from 1 species
CCCAGACUCCUACGGGAGGCAGCAGUGGGGGAUAUUGCACAAUGGGGGGAACCCUGAUGCAGCGACGCCGCGUGGGUGAAGGAGCGUUUCGGCGCGUAAAGCCCUAUCGGCAGGGAAGAAGGAGGACGGUACCUGACUAAGAAGCCCCGGUUAACUACGUGCCAGCAGCCGCGGUAAUACGUAGGGGGCAAGCGUUAUCCGGAUUUACUGGGUGUAAAGGGGGCGCAGACGGCAGCGCAAGCCAGGAGUGAAAGCCCGGGGCCCAACCCCGGGACUGCUCUUGGAACUGCGCGGCUGGAGUGCAGGAGGGGCAGGCGGAAUUCCUGGUGUAGCGGUGAAAUGCGUAGAUAUCAGGAGGAACACCGGUGGCGAAGGCGGCCUGCUGGACUGCGACUGACGUUGAGGCCCGAAAGCGUGGGGAGCAAACAGGAUUAGAUACCCCCGUA